rnacentral:rRNA from 1 species
GACGAACGCUGGCGGCGUGCUUAACACAUGCAAGUCGAACGGAAAGGCCUGCUUUCCCUUGUGGAUUGCGGGUACUCGAGUGGCGAACGGGUGAGUAACACGUGAGUGAUCUGCCCCCAACUUGGGUAUAAGCCUGGGAAACUGGGUCUAAUUCCCGAUAGGACUGCAGGGUGGUGCCUGUGGUGGAAAACGAUUUUCUAGUGGUUGGGGAUGAGCUCGCGGCCUAUCAGCUUGUUGGUGGGGUAAUGGCCUACCAAGGCGGCGACGGGUAGCCGGCCUGAGAGGGUGGACGGCCACAUUGGGACUGAGAUACGGCCCAAACUCCUGCGGGAGGCAGCAGUGGGGAAUAUUGCAGAAUGGGCGGAAGCCUGAUGCAGCGACGCCGCGUGGGGGAUGACGGCCUUCGGGUUGUAAACUCCUUUCGACCGCGAGGAAGCCACCUGGUUGGAAGGGUGGUGACGGUAGUGGUAGAAGAAGCACCGGCUAACUACGUG